ACAUAAAAACAUAGUAGGACAAAAAAAUCUUACAGACCAAAAAAAAAAAAAUCUCACCACUCGAAGAAAAAAAAACUAAUUUCUCAUUUCUCCUCAAAUUUGAAGAUCUGUAGGCAAAAUCGAUAGAUCUCUUGUCUAGUCAUGUAGAUCUCUUGCUUCCCAUUGUCUUGUCUUUAUUUCAGUACAUCUAUGGGCAAAAUCGUGGUGGGGGUGUGUGGUUAUCGACCACGGCUGUAGCUUUGCGGCGGAGGAUUUGGCUGGUCUUGGUGUCUUGCUUAGUGAUUGGCGAUGGUGGCUGGAGAUCUUUCAUUCGAGGAGGAGAAGACAAAUCAUGAUAUCCACGGCGGAAGCAGAUCCUGAAGAAGGAAGAGACCUUCAUAACGGCGGCGACUAGACAAAUUAGGGUUCCUGGAGCUUCGAAGUCAAAGCCAUGGGUAACCUCUAGUUUCUUUGGGUCGGUGGCCGGCAUGUUCUUACAGUAAGUAACAACAACAUCAAGCUGAUCAAUUUAAAGAUGUGUGUUCAUGUUCGUGUCCCAGAAGGAUGAGUUUAUUCAGAGAACAAACAUUGUCGUCGGCGUGUUCAUAUAGUAAGUAACAACAGUAUCAAUCUGAUCGAUUGGAAAAAGGUAACAUAUGUCUUUGGUUUCACAAUCAAACUGGUCCUUCUUAUUACAUGUGUCUUUAUCAACUCAACACGUCUUAUUCUUAUUCCACAAUUCCUUGUCCACUUCAGUUUUCCAAUCCUUACUUAAGUCAUCAGUAAGUCUACUUCUCUUUAAAAGUUCUCAGACCUCUCUAUUUUAUUAUUGGGGAAUUCUCUUCUUUCUCUUCUACAUUGACAAUAUUACCUGAUGAUUUUGUUCGCUCUCGCUCUCUCUCAGGUUCCGAGCCAGCCAACACUGCAACCGCCAAACAAUAUAUGUCCAAGGAGUGGCCUUGUUAGCCUUCAAUCGGGCUGUUACGAAAUCUAUCCAAAACCAGAGGUUAUUAGGAUAUGGCCUCGAAGAGUUUCAGCAAUGAGUGUUGCUACCCGUGUGGCUCAAGUGAUGGGUGUCAAACUUGAGGAUGAGGAGACAACCAACGACAAAUAAGAGAGCCAAAGUUCUUGGAGUAUGUAGGGAAGUGAGAAUUGCUUGGAAUGAUACAACAACCUAAGUUCUGGGAGGGAGAGAAAGAGCAAUGGAGUUGUCAGUUUAGUCCAUCUCACUACAACAAAUAUAUACAUUGAUAGCAGUAGAGAAAUGUUAUAAUACGUCAUUUAUAGCUUUUUCACAAACGCUAUGUUAGGCCACUGUUAUCACAGGUACGAUAUCGCCAGAUACAUAUGCUAUGUAAGAAGUUUUCUACCAUAGCAGCAGCGAAAUGCUUUGUUAUCACACUUUUCUAAAUUUUUUAAACAAUGUAAUAAGUCAUUUUUCAUGCUAUGUUAGGAGGUUCUACUA